CCUACGGGCGGCUGCAGUGGGGAAUAUUGGACAAUGGGCGAAAGCCUGAUCCAGCCAUGCCGCGUGUGUGAAGAAGGCCUUCGGGUUGUAAAGCACUUUCAGUGGGGAAGAAAGCCUUGGGGCUAAUACCCUCGAGGAAGGACAUCACCCACAGAAGAAGCACCGGCUAACUCCGUGCCAGCAGCCGCGGUAAUACGGAGGGUGCGAGCGUUAAUCGGAAUUACUGGGCGUAAAGCGCGCGUAGGCGGUCUGAUAAGCCGGUUGUGAAAGCCCCGGGCUCAACCUGGGAACGGCAUCCGGAACUGUCAGGCUAGAGUGCAGGAGAGGAAGGUAGAAUUCCCGGUGUAGCGGUGAAAUGCGUAGAGAUCGGGGGGAAUACCAGUGGCGAAGGCGGCCUUCUGGACUGACACUGACGCUGAGGUGCGAAAGCGUGGGUAGCAAACAGGAUUAGAUACCCUUGUAGUC
rnacentral:rRNA from 1 species